CUAGCUAGAAUGGGAUUUUAAUUAUAGAGGAAUAUAAAGUAAAGAUGAAUUUGUAAUUCUUCGACAUGUUUUCCUUCUUCAAUUAUGGUUGUUCUUAGUUGGUGGAGAAAUUUUUCUCGUUAAUUAUGUUAAUGAAUGAGACCUCAUCCUGCUAACUAGCUACGUGGAGCUUCCCCUUCGCGACCAACUUCUUAGAGGGAUGUGGCCAUUUAAUCCGUGGAAGUUUAAGGCAAUAAUAGGUUUGUGAUUCCCUUAUAUGCUCUGAGCUACACACACACUACAUUGAUGUAGUGAAAGUGUCACCAUGGAAGUUUGAGGAAAUAAUAGGUAUGUGAUGCCCUUAGAUGUUCUAGGUUGCACACACACUACACUAAUGUAGUGAAAGAGUUGUUCUCCCCAUUUGAGAAGACUAGGAAAUAUUCUCAAAUUGCAUCUUGAUAGGGAUAUACUAUUGCAAUUAUUGAUAAUCAAUGAAGAAUUCCUUGCAAGCACAUGUCAACAGCUUAUGUAUCCUACAUCCC
rnacentral:ncRNA from 1 species